UUUAAACGUAUUAUUCCUUGGAUUUCAUAUUCCAUUCGAACCGAUCUGACAUUUCCAAAUGGCUUGACUUAUUUGGACUUAUACAAAUAAAAAAAAAAAAAGAUACACUUAGAUUUAAACGAAUCAUUCCUUGGAUUUCGAAUAAAAUUCGAACCGAUCUGACAUUUCCAAAUGGCGUAACUGAUUUGGACUUAUACAAACACAUAAAUAAAAAAAAAUUAUUUCGUGUUCAAUAAAAAAAAAUGAUCAACAAAA